GGGGAUUUAGCUAAGCGGUGUAAGUGCCUGCCUUGCAAGCAGGCAGCCAUGAGUUCGAUCCCUG
rnacentral:tRNA from 1 species